rnacentral:rRNA from 1 species
UACGUAAGGUCCGAGCGUUGUCCGGAAUCAUUGGGCGUAAAGGGUACGUAGGCGGGUAAGCAAGUUAGAAGUGAAAUCCUAUAGCUCAACUAUAGUAAGCUUUUAAAACUGUUCAUCUUGAGGUAUGGAAGGGAAAGUGGAAUUCCUAGUGUAGCGGUGAAAUGCGCAGAUAUUAGGAGGAAUACCGGUGGCGAAGGCGACUUUCUGGCCAUAUACUGACGCUGAGGUACGAAAGCGUGGGUAGCAAACAGG